AAGAACUUGACUGAAGAUAAACACGGUCGACUUGCAAUUCACUUCACAAACUGCCACUUACAGCAAGCUCAAAUUGAGCCUUAUCAAUGUGAAACAGUUGAGAGUAUUUCAGCAUGUCUUGCAAAGAUGAAAAACAAUGCAAUUGCUUUCAAUGCCUAUACAUUGUUCUUUACACACACCCACAACAUAUGUUUUUUUCUGCAAAAUGAAAUUUGGCAGGAGAGAACGGAAGACACUGUUACUUACUUGGCAGAAAGUUCGAAAACAGUGGCCAAACAACUGAAUGCAACAAGUGCAAUUCAGGAUGAGAUGAUGCAGAAACAGUGGCAGUCGUUGUCAAAUCAGCAGGAAAUUCUUAAAAAUGAAAAGCAGUUACGGAAAUCGUUGCAUGAGUCCAACCAGGAUAUACUAAAGCAAUUUCAAGAAGUAUCCAAAAUAAUUUCCCAAAUAAAGAAAUUGAUACUCGGCGAGUACAUAUCCUUCUAUACAUGGAUGUUUUACGCUUUUUUUUCAAUGUUUAUGUAUUUUUUAACAACAAAUACAAGAUUUUACGAGGCCCGUACCUAUAUAGUUUUCAUAACUUUGGGAAAUAUAAUAGUUGAAUACGGGAUUGCUUACUACUUUCAAAAUAAGGAUCUGUAUACUUUGUACAAAUGGCUGUGGUAUUCAAGAUAUUGUGGAGCCAUUUUAACAACAAUCGUGGGUAUAUACUGUUUCUGGAAAUACCGUGAUUUCAACAGAGAGAAUUACAAUAUGCUUUUAGAGAUAAAACAACAAUUGUCAAUACUACUCGAUGAACGAGUUAAUUAAAAUAAAGAUGAAAAAUGAGAUAACAGAACUGAUAUGUCAGCAUAUGAUACUAAUGGUGAUGCUUGUGGUGACGGUGAUUGUAAUAAUUGUGGUGAUUCAAAUCAGCUGUUAAUUAAUCAGUAGAUUUUAAGUGCGGUAUCAAUUUCUAUAUUAUCGUUAUCUUUAACGAUUCCGCUAUCGUUAUCUUUAUCAAUAUUAUUAUAUUAAGUACAGUAUUAUUAUUAUUAUUAUUAUUAUUAUUAUUAUUUUUUUUUUUUAUUUUUUUUUUUAAAUAAAUUUUUAUGGUGAUAGUUAUAGUAAUGAUUAUGGUAAUAAUUCACAUGAUGGUUAUAGUAAUGGUAUUGGUGAUGGUAAUUGUAAUUGUAGUGUUGAUAAUAAACAUACAAUUUAGCUGAUUCUCAUUUAGUAUAAUUAUUUUAAGUGAGGUGCAAUUCUAUGAUAUUAUUUUUUGCUAACUAAACAUAUUCGGAUCCAGCUUUUACAGAAAAAUAUGAUACUUACUUUAACGUAAGUAUACUGUAGGCCUAUUUGAUGUGCAUUUUAAAUGCUUAAUUAAAUCGUUCUUCUGAACUGUGUUUUUUAAAAAAUUAAAACUAAAUGAAGAUAUUUUGGGUGUCUUGUGUAUUUAGUACAAUAGUAACGAGUAAAUUUUCUAUUUUUAUCAUUAUUUGUGGUUUUUAGUAAGUUGAUUAAAUAAAUUGAAAUAUAUAAAUAAAUUGUAAUAGCUAGAUUAUUGGUGUGACAGUUAUAUGUUAAUGGUCGCGGUAAUUGUAAUUUUAUAAUAAACAUACAAUUUGGCUGAUCCUUAAUCAGAAAAUUUUAGGUGAGGUAUGGAAACUAAACAUAUUCAGAUUUAACAGUUAUAUAUAAGUGAUCCUUACUAAGUGUGAACUUAAGUAUACUUAAGGCCUAUUUGAUAAGCAUUUUAAAUGUCUAACUUAAUCGUUCUUCUGAACCAUUGUGUCUAAAACUAUGAUUUUUUUAAAGGAGGUAAAAGUCAACAAAAUGAUGAUAAUUUCGGUGUAUGGUGUAUAAUACAAUUGUAACGAGUUAAUUCGGUAUUUUUAUCAUUAUUUGUGGCCUGUGGUAAGUUAAAUAAAUAAAUUGCAAUUAUAUAAAAAUAAAUAUUAUAAUAUAAAAUAAUAGUUCAUUCUUAUAUAUCGCAUAUAAUAUUAUAUAAUAUUAUAUAUAAUAUAAUAUAAAAUAAUAUGGGAUAAUUCAUAUAAAUGUAAGUGGUUUAAUUCUAAGAUAAUCUUCCUCGUGUAACAGGACCUUCCAGGACCUAAUUUGCACAUAAGGCUAUCUGUUUCAUUGUCUUACACAGUUCAUAGUUUAACAACAUUUGUAUUACUCUGGCUGUGGUGAAUGAAUUGGAUAUUUUAUAUAUUGUAUUAUUUAAUAUUUUUAUAGAUAUUAUUUUAAAUCAUGGUAAAUGGUGUUGAAUUAGUAUCAGUUGGUUACUAUUAGUCACUACUUAACUAUUGUUAUCAAUAGAGUAAUUAAAUAUUGUGCUACUUUAGGUGUUCAGAAAGGCUGUGCACAUGUUUUAGUCUCUGAUGGUAGAAAUAUGGUGUUAUCUAAAUCAUUUAGAUGUAAUAACAUAAUUGUUUAAGAUGACGGCUAUAUAAGUGAUGUUAUGUUAGUAGUAAGCCAUGUUAUUAUAAUUAAUGCAUUUAUACAAUAUAUAUUUAAGAUACAUAAACUCUGACAUUAGAAUUGUAUACAUUAUUGCUAUUGUCUUAAAUGAUAGUGAAGAAAUAUUAACUAUAUAAUCAUUUAGUAUACUUGAUUAAUAUCUUUCAGCCGAAUGUUAAAUUGUAAGUGGAAGUUAGUAUUAAAAAUGCUGAACACUCUA
rnacentral:lncRNA from 1 species